rnacentral:rRNA from 2 species
CCAUGUGUAGCGGUGAAAUGCGUAGAUAUAUGGAAGAACACCAGUGGCGAAGGCGGCUGUCUGGUCUGUAACUGACGCUGAGGCUCGAAAGUAUGGGUAGCAAACAGGAUUAGAUACCCUGGUAGUCCAUACCGUAAACGAUGAAUGCUAAGUGUUGGAGGGUUUCCGCCCUUCAGUGCUGCAGCUAACGCAUUAAGCAUUCCGCCUGGGGAGUACGGCCGCAAGGCUGAAACUCAAAGGAAUUGACGGGGGCCCGCACAAGCGGUGGAGCAUGUGGUUUAAUUCGAAGCUACGCGAAGAACCUUACCAGGUCUUGACAUACUAUGCAAAUCUAAGAGAUUAGACGUUCCCUUCGGGGACAUGGAUACAGGUGGUGCAUGGUUGUCGUCAGCUCGUGUCGUGAGAUGUUGGGUUAAGUCCCGCAACGAGCGCAACCCUUAUUAUCAGUUGCCAGCAUUAAGUUGGGCACUCUGGUGAGACUGCCGGUGACAAACCGGAGGAAGGUGGGGAUGACGUCAAAUCAUCAUGCCCCUUAUGACCUGGGCUACACACGUGCUACAAUGGAUGGUACAACGAGUUGCGAACUCGCGAGAGUAAGCUAAUCUCUUAAAGCCAUUCUCAGUUCGGAUUGUAGGCUGCAACUCGCCUACAUGAAGUCGGAAUCGCUAGUAAUCGCGGAUCAGCAUGCCGCGGUGAAUACGUUCCCGGGCCUUGUACACACCGCCCGUCACACCAUGAGAGUUUGUAACACCCAAAGUCGGUGGGGUAACCU